UUCAACCUUUAAUGGGAAAGGGAGUGCUAGGUAUCUAGGUCAGUGCCUUGCACAUGCUUGACAGCAGGUACCUUUGUGGUUAGUAUACAUCUUAACGUGAUACAUUUUGAUGCAGUGUGCUCUUUUUGUUUGCAUUUUCAGGUGUCGGGAAUGCUAAACUGAUGUGACUGACUUGAUAAGUACUAGGCUAGGCUUAUUCCUAAAAUACCUGGCACUACUUGGUGACUAAUUGAACACAUCAGACACUGAGUACUUUGGACAUAGAAUCUUUUAGUCCUCUUGCUUACAGAGAGGUGUUGAGAGGUUUCCUGUCAACAUUCUAGUAAAGAUGUCGAAGGACAUUUUGUGAGAUCCACACAGCAAUGUAGUGCUGGUAACCCCAUCUCACAGAGGAGGAAAUGGGUUCAACCGCAUGAGGCAAAGAUGCCGGAUAGAAGGAUAACGGGAACAUGUGGAAUGCAGUAGCCAAUUAAUUGUCGGAGCACUCUAGGCUGCUUCUUGAAUCUAGUGCUGUUUCUUUUUCUCACAGGCCACUGGCCCAACUUACUUUCCAUUUUAUUUCAUUUUUUGACUUGGUAAUAUAUUCAAGGUGUAUAUAGUGAGAAUGCACCCUAACCCUGACUCAGCUGCCCAGUUACCUCCCCAAAGACAACCAUUGUUACCAAUUAAUAUAGCCUGAGCAAAUAUGGACAGAUUUUCUCCAUUUCCCUUUUAACACAAAAUAGAUGCACCUUGUUUUCCCUCGUUUAACAUUUUGGAGUUCUUCCAUUAUACGUAAAAAUGGCACUCUUUUUAUGUUGCAUACUAUUUAGUUCCUGGAUGUUGCAUAAUUGACACAGAUAACUUGUGUGCCCCUUCAAUGUGCCAGGUACUAUUAGCCAUGGAAAACAGAUGAACAAAGUCUUUAUCUUCUGGAGCUUAAGUUCUGGAGAGACAAAUGAACAAACAGGUGGGUAAUAACUGAUUCAGACAACAAUGAGGCGGGGAGAGAAAGGGGGAAUUGGUUGGUAUUGGGUAAAGGAUGUCUAAGGGAGGCCUCUGAUAGUAACGUUUGUGCAUGUGAGGGAGUAAGGCACGUCAGCUUGUGGAGAUAGAGUGUUCUAGGCAGAGGGCAUAGUAAGUGGAGAAACUCUGAAGUGGUUUGUGUUGGGUAAGGAUGCCAGCAUGGAGUGAACACUGGGAGAGAACAGGAAGAGAUGGCAUAGGAAGGGAGAGCAGUGUAGGAUAUAGAUUAUAUAGGACCUGUGUACCUUGGAGAGGACUUGCUGCUUUUCCACUGAGUUUUUCAGCAAAGCAGGAAUUAGUUCCCUCUUAGUGGAUGUGAGGGUUUCUGAUUACAGUAAUAAUGCUGUAGUGAAUUUUACAAUACAU